GUACUUGCUUCAGCAGCACAUAUACUGAAAUAGAAAUGAUACAGAAAAGAUUAGCAUGGCCCUGUGUAAAGAUGACACAUAAAAAUAUAACAUGCAAGGAUGACAAAUAUAU
ensembl:snRNA U6 U6 spliceosomal RNA